GAUGAACGCUAGCUACAGGCUUAACACAUGCAAGUCGCGGGGCAGCAUGGGGGUUGCUUGCAACUCCCGAUGGCGACCGGCGCACGGGUGAGUAACGCGUAUCCAACCUGCCCUUCACCACGGGAUAACCCGGCGAAAGUCGGACUAAUACCGUAUGUUGUCCAUUGACGGCAUCCGAAUUGGACGAAAGGCUUUGCGGUGAAGGAUGGGGAUGCGUCCGAUUAGCCAGACGGCGGGGUAACGGCCCACCGUGGCUACGAUCGGUAGGGGUUCUGAGAGGAAGGUCCCCCACACUGGAACUGAGACACGGUCCAGACUCCUACGGGAGGCAGCAGUGAGGAAUAUUGGUCAAUGGGCGUAAGCCUGAACCAGCCAAGUAGCGUGCAGGAUGACGGCCCUAUGGGUUGUAAACUGCUUUUAUGCGGGGAUAAAGUGGCCCACGUGUGGGCUUUUGCAGGUACCGCAUGAAUAAGGACCGGCUAAUUCCGUG
rnacentral:rRNA from 1 species